CGCGAGCGCGGGGGCCCGGCGGGCGGAGGGGGCCCCGCGAGGCUGGCCGCCCGCAGAUGUUCCUCCAAUAACAGGGCCGGCGACUCUGCUGUUCGGCUGGUGAGAGGCUCAAAAAUGCGGGGGGACGGAGGCCGUGCGUGGAAAGCACCCUGCGCGGCCCGGCAUGGCGUCGGCGACGGCAGAGGAAGAUGGCGCACGGGGCACGACGUCUGGACAACCCGGCCCCCGCUCCGAGCGCAGGCAGCCCGCCGCCAUUUGAACGUUUCUUCUGACGGCAUCCUCCGGGGACCUGGGAGGCGUCGGGAAUUAACCACGGCUGGGACCCGCCACCCCGGGGCUGCCAGGACCAGAGCCUCGGCCCGACUCGCUCUGCCUUGCCCGGGCAGGAGGGGCGAGGAGAAGGCAUUUCCCGCUCCGUAGGUCUCUCGGAAACGUCGCUGCCUCUGUUGACAGGGGACCGUGUCCCCUUUGUCAACAGGACGGUGAGGAGAGGAAGAAGGGAGGCGAUGCCCGGCAGGCUCCCCCCGUCCCUGCACCUGCGGGGUGGGGCUGGCUCUGACCCUUCUCCAGCAGGAAGGGGCUCGGUCGUGGCCCCGCCUCGGCCUUAGGAGACGCGGGAGCUGCUCGGGGUGUGGCCCCCGAGGUCUGGCCACCCCCGGGCCUGCAGGUCGGGAGGCGCGGGUGUCGGCCCACCGCGGGGGAGAGACGGGACACAGGCGAGUGUGGGGAGGAGAGGUUCCCGGGGGGCCGAGACCCCCAGCUGAGAGUCCCUGGGCUCGUGAGGGUCUGCUGAAGGCAGCGGGCCCCCCCUUCCCAGAGAGGCGCCGGCGCAGGGGUUCGUGUCGAGGGUCCGGGCUCGUGGCGCCGCUGAUGCCCGCCCCUACCCGCUGAGGUGGGAGAAUCAGCCAAGGACAAGGGAUGGACAGCUGCCGGGUGGGGCAGAGAGGAAGACGAGGCAGGUGGCGCGCUCGCUCUUGGGUUACCCCGCGGCGCGUCCUGCCCUCUGCCACCUCCCAGCCCCGGCAGCGCGCCGAGGGACCCCAC
rnacentral:lncRNA from 1 species